GACGAACGCUGGCGGCGUGCUUAACACAUGCAAGUCGAACGGAAAGGCCUGCUUUCCCUUGUGGAUUGCGGGUACUCGAGUGGCGAACGGGUGAGUAACACGUGAGUGAUCUGCCCCCAACUUGGGUAUAAGCCUGGGAAACUGGGUCUAAUUCCCGAUAGGACUGCAGGGUGGUGCCUGUGGUGGAAAACGAUUUUCUAGUGGUUGGGGAUGAGCUCGCGGCCUAUCAGCUUGUUGGUGGGGUAAUGGCCUACCAAGGCGGCGACGGGUAGCCGGCCUGAGAGGGUGGACGGCCACAUUGGGACUGAGAUACGGCCCAGACUCCUACGGGAGGCAGCAGUGGGGAAUAUUGCACAAUGGGCGGAGGCCUGAUGCAGCGACGCCGCGUGGGGGAUGACGGCCUACGGGUUGUAAACUCCUUUCGACCGCGAGGAAGCCACCUGGUUGGAAGGGUGGUGACGGUAGUGGUAGAAGAAGCACCGGCUAACUACGUG
rnacentral:rRNA from 1 species